rnacentral:rRNA from 1 species
UACAGAGGGUGCGAGCGUUGUUCGGAAUUAUUGGGCGUAAAGGGCGCGUAGGCGGUGCCACAAGUCACUUGUGAAAUCCCCGGGCUUAACUCGGGGCCUGCAGGCGAAACUGUGGUGCUGGAGUAUGGGAGAGGUGCGUGGAAUUCCCGGUGUAGCGGUGAAAUGCGUAGAUAUCAUUUGGAACGCCAAUGGUGAAAACAGGGUAGCUGGGGGCUGAUGCUGACGCUGGAGACACGAAAGCCCAGGGGGAGCGAAACGGGGA